UAGCAGUAGGGAAUCUUCCACAAUGGACGCAAGUCUGAUGGAGCAAUGCCGCGUGAGUGAAGAAGGGUUUCGGCUCGUAAAACUCUGUUGUUGAAGAAGAACGGGUGUCAGAGUAACUGUUGACAUCGUGACGGUAUUCAACCAGAAAGCCACGGCUAACUACGUGCCAGCAGCCGCGGUAAUACGUAGGUGGCAAGCGUUGUCCGGAUUUAUUGGGCGUAAAGCGAGCGCAGGCGGUUAUUUAAGCCUGAUGUGAAAGCCUUCGGCUUAACCGAAGAAGUGCAUCGGAAACUGGAUGACUUGAGUGCAGAAGAGGACAGUGGAACUCCAUGUGUAGCGGUGGAAU
rnacentral:rRNA from 1 species